AUGAUCAGAUGUACAGCCGCCAGGAAUCGGUUCCCAGAAAUAUGUGGACGUUAUACAAAUUAGUUUGCUUCUAUGUUGUUUUCUUAAACAUUGGCGGGGUCUGUGGAGGGGGGCACCUGUCCGUCAGACUGGUGGGGUAUGUCAAUCCGGGAGGGAAUGGGGAGAACGGCAGGCCCUGUGACGGACGCUAUUUUUUCAGGGGUUCUCCGUGCGACCAUCGCUUCAUCAUCUGUGUGGAUAAGGAGAAUGGGGGGAAUUCGAUAGAUAAAUGUCAUUUCGGACGAGUGGAAACACCCUCAAUUCCAGACCAAGACACUGUAUCGUUUCCAACCAACAUCCGGGGAUUGGAGAAUCCAAUAUUGUUCAACGUCACAUCAUGGCCUGUGAGUUGAAUACGUCACGAUGAAAAAAAAUCUAGUCGGUUUACAGUUAUUCAAAGGUAAUUAAUUAACCAUGUUCGAUUUCAAGGACUCUGGAAAAUUUAUAUUAAAAGUAGAUGUUUGGGACGACGACGUCCGCUCAAAGGAUGAGCACGUGGAGUACCUGUACAAAUACUUUGUCAUCAAGCCCAGCGGCAGCCGAUACAACCACACGGCCAAACGCUUCAUGCUGCAUCGCAGAACCAGACUGACACUGGAGCUGGCUGUCUUCUGUGACCAGUUCUAUUUUGGGCCGUCAUGUGACAUCUACUGCCAGUCCAGGAACGAUUCGCUCGGACACUACACGUGCAACAGCACGGGGAGGAAACAGUGCCUUAAGGGUUGGAGAGGUAGGGUUGUCGUCAAAUGGAUUACUGCGCAGACUCACCGUGCCAGAACAAUGGUACAUGUCUACAGAGGAGGACUCGUACAACUGUAGCUGUCCGCACGGCUUUGUGGGAGUGAACUGUGACAUAGAGCUGUGUAAAGAUAAUUACUGCAGACACGAUGGCGACUGUUACAUUGUUGGUGACACUCACGUUUGUGUGUGUAUCCCCGGAUGGACGGGCAACAGGUGUCAGGAUCGCCUCUCAGUUGUGAUGACAUCACAUGUUCCAACAACGGCACAUGCACAGUAUCAGAAAAUCAAUAUAAUUGCCGAUGCACGGACGGGUGGCAAGGAGAUGGCUGUUUAUUUGACAUGGAUGAAUGUAAGCAUAGCCCAUGUCAGGGACAAUCCGAAUGUAUUAAUACUAAAGGGAGUUACAGGUUGUCAAUGUUCCCCUGGAUGGACUGGUAUAAACUGCACGGAACAAAGCGAUAAUCCGUGUCUGCAUGGGGAGUGUGUAAAUCCACGGUGCUUACCCAGCGGCAGGACAUAUCACCCCCAGUGCUUAGAAAGUUGGUCCGGGUCACUUGUCUUGCAAAUACCCAGAUUGGUUGUCAUAACAACAACAUGUGGUAACAAUGGCAACGGAACUUCUUGUGUCUGCGAUAAGGAGUCUGGCUCGGGGUUACGGGAAGGAAAUGAGAUGACGUCAUGUUUGAGUAACUGCAGCAGUAACGUACAAUGUGAAGUUACUUCUGACGGAGAGUGGUCUUGUACUUGUGGCCAACAGCUUUGUUACUUGCCUUUUCCAGAGUUUUGCUGCUCUGUAGAAAAUGAUUCUAAUGUUUCUUUGGCAUUAACUCCUCUAAAUAGUUUCAACGAAAGUUAUUUCGAUCGAGAUCAUUUUAUGUCUCCUUGCUCCGACUUCAACAUGACGUUUUUAGCAUCGCUAAAACGUACCAACGAUUCUCAGACCCAGUAUCUCAAGCAAGAGAUUUCGGCUAAAGUGACUUUCGACAAUGAGACGACUUGCACGAUGUGGCGGCAGUGGGUUGUGACGUACUGCCUGCACCCCCUGAUGGGGACGACCAGUCGUACGAGUAUGACGACGACGACACAGACCCCGCCCUCACUGAUCCAAGUCUCUUAAUGGACAGCAACUAUGAAUCCAUAAACUGGUACCCGCUGACCGGUCUAUUAGCAGUUCCGGUCUUCGUUGGUAUCGUCUGUUUUGUUGUUUUGCGCAGAAGAUUGGCGAGACAAGACUCGGGCGAAGAUGAGGAUGACGAAGAAGCGUUGGGAAACGUUCCCGCGACAUUUCAUAACAUCUUGUACGCAGAGAUGAAUAAUUAACACAAAAACUGUGCUUGUGAUAUUGUUUAUUGAACACAUACAAACAUUAUGUAGAACACUUGAAAUUCCAUCGAAGAUGUUUGAAAACCAAAUAUCAUACCGGUAAUAUCAAGAAUACAGAUCUCGGAGAGGAUUUAUAUAGGCAAUGCCUGCUAUCCCAUCCGUUUAUAUGUGAUAUAUUGCAUAAUAAAGUAUUGUUUAAAUUAAGAAUAUAGUUAACC
rnacentral:misc_RNA from 1 species